GAGGAGGCUGUGAUGUCGCCUUGGACGAUGCGCUCCUCGGGCUGGGGCUCUGGUUUGCUGGUCGGCCAGCUGUACGAGAAGCUGCCGACUUCGGGGAGAAGAGCGCAUGGGGUGGUGUGAUCCAUUGGUGGUGCUGUGGUGCAAGCUCUGACUCUGAUAUGAGAGGAGGAGCCGGGGGGGAUGUUAAAAAAAAAAAGAUGGCAACAAACAGAGAGAACAAUCAAACAAACGAGAGGCGACGUGUUAGUGUUAGCAUUGCAUGGAAGCAACCUCGCUGAAAUGGCUCGCCCAGGUCGCCCUCGUGUGACGCUAUCACAUAGCCCCUGAGAAUUUCUCCGGGUCCCCUUCUUCGGACCGG
rnacentral:lncRNA from 1 species